UGUAGUUCUAUGGCAUGGGGACUCUGUCCUCCUGCUGUGGUUCUGCAUCUUUACAACACACAAUGUGAUAGAGUCUCAUGGAAUGUACACCGCGUUUAACGCAAUACAAUACAACUUUCAGCAACGGAUCUCUUGGCUCUCGCAUCGAUGAAGAACGCAGCGAAAUGCGAUAAGUAAUGUGAAUUGCCGGAAUUCAGUGAAUCAUCGAAUCUUUGAACGCACCUUGCGCCCUUUGGGCUAUUCCGAAGGGGCAUGCCUGUUUGAGUAUCAUGAACACCUCAACUCUCAUGGUUUGCCAUGAUGAGCUUGGACUUUGGGGGUUUUGCUGGCCUGAGGUCAGCUCUCCUCAAAAUGAAUCAGCUUGCCAGUGUUUUGGUGGCAUCGCAGAUGUGAUAACUAUCUACGCUUGUGGAGUCCCACCAUGCACCUUCAGUGAUAUGAAAGGUUCGCUGGAGCUUAUAAAUGUCUCUCUCAACGAGGACAGCAUUUUGGAAGUUUGAUCUCAAAUCAGGUAGGACUACC
rnacentral:rRNA from 1 species